rnacentral:tRNA from 1 species
GGAAAUAGGGUUCAAUGGGUAGAACAUAUGACUAGCAAGCACAAGACCUUAAGUUCAAACUUCAAUAGUGCCU